GGAGCACCCCAGCCUCCCCGGGAGCACCCCAGCCUCCCCGGGAGGACCCCAAACACACUCCGUCCAGGAUCCCUCUCCCUCCAGAAGCAAAUGGCACCAGUGACCCGCGAGCAUCUUCGCUUCCCGGGGCUCCCGGUGCGGCCCCACUGCCUGCGCAGAGCCCGGCCGGAGGACGGGAGCUCGCCCGGUUGCCGCACAAGACGGAGCGGUGCCGGCUGAGCGGGUGGAUCAGGGUGUAACUCCAGGGAGCUGGGAGGUGACGGCAGGACUGACAUCCCGGACUGCGGGACAGCCAAGAACCCUGCUACAAACUCAGCUGGGAUACCAGAGACUGGAGCUGCAAGACCAACUUCCGUGGAGAUCAAAGCAGGGAUGUGCAGGCGGAUUUCUCCCAGCCCAGUGGAACAAAGCCUGAUGCGUGGCACACCGUCAUGGACUUUGGGAGCCGUGUUAGCAAAUACUCCUAUUCUGGAGUUGCCAGUCUCCAGUUUCCUGGAAACCUGCACGUCCUGGCGACUGUUAGGAUGGCC